rnacentral:rRNA from 1 species
GGGUGCGUAACGCGUGGGAAUCUACCUUAGGUUCGGAAUAACUCAGAGAAAUUUGAGCUAAUACCGGAUGAUGUCUUCGGACCAAAGAUUUAUCGCCUUUGGAUGAGCCCGCGUAAGAUUAGCUAGUUGGUAGGGUAAAGGCCUACCAAGGCGACGAUCUUUAGCUGGUCUGAGAGGAUGAUCAGCCACACUGGGACUGAGACACGGCCCAGACUCCUACGGGAGGCAGCAGUGGGGAAUAUUGGACAAUGGGGGCAACCCUGAUCCAGCAAUGCCGCGUGAGUGAUGAAGGCCUUCGGGUUGUAAAGCUCUUUUGGCGGGGACGAUGAUGACGGUACCCGCAGAAUAAGCCCCGGCUAACUUCGUGCCAGCAGCCGCGGUAAUACGAAGGGGGCUAGCGUUGUUCGGAAUUACUGGGCGUAAAGGGCGCGUAGGCGGUCCUGAUCGUCGGAUGUGAAAGGCCUGGGCUCAACCUGGGAAUGGCAUCCGAUACGGCGGGACUGGAGUGUGGGAGAGGUUGGUGGAAUUCCCAGUGUAGCGGUGAAAUGCGUAGAGAUCGGAAGGAACGUCAAUGGCGAAGGCAGCCACCUGGCAUAAUACUGACGCUGAGGCGCGAAAGCGUGGGGAUCAAACAGGAUUAGAUACCCUGGUAGUCCACGCUGUAAACGAUGAAGACUAGAUGUUGCUGGGGGAACUCA